rnacentral:rRNA from 1 species
GCGUUGUCCGGAAUCAUUGGGCGUAAAGAGCGUGUAGGCGGCCAGAUAAGUCCGCUGUGAAAUCUCGAGGCUCAACUUCGAGCUGUCGGUGGAAACUGUCUGGCUAGAGUCCGGAAGAGGAGAAUGGAAUUCCCGGUGUAGCGGUGAAAUGCGCAGAUAUCGGGAAGAACACCCGUGGCGAAGGCGGUUCUCUGGGACGGUACUGACGCUGAGACGCGAAAGCGUGGGGAGCGAACAGG